rnacentral:lncRNA from 1 species
UUUUUGAACUGCUAGGUUGGCAGGAGCUGGAGCUAACAGUGGGGCUCACUCCUCUCCCGGGAUUUGAACCUGGGACCUUUUGGUCCGCAAGUUCAGCAGCUCAGUGCUUUAACACACUGCGCCAUCAGGGGCCCCUGAUACAGCAGUGUAAAUGUCCAGUUUUAGAAUGCAGAUUAACUGCUUUGAACUGGAUUAUAUGGCAGUGUGGAUGGGGCCAAAGACUCUGGAGACCAAGGUUCGAAUCCUUGCAAGUCGCAUACUCUCAGCCCCUGAAAAAUCACAUAGGAAGUGACUUAAAUGCACGUAAACAACAGCGAUUGAAUAGCCAAACUUUUGUUUCAAGACCUCCAAAGAAGGAGAGCCCACCACUCUUUAACAGUAAAGCUCUUCCUAAUGUUUUGCCGGAAUCCCUUUUCUUGUAAUACGAAUCCUCUUCUUUUUUCCUCCAGGCCUUUAAAAAAGGCAAACGUUUGCUCUAAUGUGCACGGGGAACUUUCGCCAGCCCCUGCUGCGGUUUAGAGAGAGGAAUAGGAACCAAACCCACACAGGCAUUUGUAAUUUUGUAUGUGUGUGCAUGUGUGUGUCUUUAUUAUUAUUUUUCUUUGCUGUGCAGCUGCCAAAGAGUUCCUGAGCCAGAGAGAUCCAGUCUCAGCAAGCUGGAUAUAGAAAUGGGAUGGGAGGGAGGGGAGCAGGGCUGUUUGCUUUGGCUUUCGGUGCUCGAAAGACGCCCACAUGGCAGCAGCCCAGAGACUGGAGGGUUGUUUUUCUUUUCUGGCCUUAAAGAGACAGAGCUAGAAACCUAUUUAGGGAAGCCGGAGAGGAAAGGAUGUGUAAACACACAUAACCGACUUGGGGAUUAUGUCAGCAAAGCGGGCUGCACCGAGCUGGAAGAAUUCACAUUUCGAAGCAUUAAUCAUUCUCCGAUCUCACACUUCCUCCCGGCUCUGCUUUUGAGCCGUGCGUUUUGGCCGGAAUUCAGCUGCGAUGAUAAUGAUCAGGUACUUCAAAAUCCCUGUUUUAUAAGCUCCCCUUUGGAUGCGUUGGUGAAAAGGAAGAUGGAAAAAAACCAGCCUUUGCACAUCUGUGUUUCUCCCUCCCAUCCGCCUCUGCUUUGGCGUCCUGGUGUGAGUUUCCUCUAG